CACGCCCUGACUAUAAUAAAACAAAUAUAUAAUAACAGAACUAAGAAAAUGAAGAAUGGAUAGGACACUUGUCCUCCUCCAAGCAUCAGUGACCUCCAGGAACAGUAGCCUAUCCUUUUCACCAAGUUAUGGCUCUGCGACCACUUCAAUACUUGUGAUUGACAGUCACCUGACUCAAGCUCUCCUGAACAAGGGUCUGCGAGAAAGUGUGUAACAUGUGGGUCAAUUGGCAAUGGCUUCCUCUGAACGAACUUUCCGGUCUUGCGGCUCGCUUCUGCUUUAGCUGUGAAUUUGGUUCCUUCAGGGUUUAUUCGAACCAGGAACCUGCACAACCCAACAUGGAAUAUAUUAAAUCAGUUGGGGCAUUGAAAAUGAUCUGCUUGCUCCAUCCCAGAGCCUGUGUUGGCUUGUGGUAGCAUGCUACUCUGGCUCCAGUCUAGCCCUGCUUGCUCCUUUCUAUCCGUCCUUCUCUCAGCCCCUUUUUCUCUCGAUCUCUCUUUCUCUCAUUUCUUUCUCAAAGACAGGCAGGCAAGCAGUUCUUGUUGUAGUUUUUUGUCAAAAUGUCUUCAUUUUCUACUGUUGUUUUCCUAUUUUUUAUUGAUCUGUUUAGAUUUCUUCUUUUUUUUACAUAAUCCUGUAUUUUCAAGA